CUUGGCUACCCCAGGGAUAUGUUGAGUCUCCAACUAUUUUCUCCUCCAUCCUGGCAUGUGAUUUAGCUGAUAUCAACCUACCGGGUACGCAGCUCAAUUUCAGUCCCUACCCGCUGAUGUUCCUGCCCAUUGGAUCACUCCAGGAGACCGGGUCUAUGU